rnacentral:lncRNA from 1 species
AACUUUCAAUUUGAGCUUACAUCAACACAUGGUUUUUAGAAUAUGUACCUGGUAUUGAAAAGAAGAGAUAUCAACAACUUGCUUUUUUAUUUCAUUUCAAACUUCAAACUUCCAAUUCGAGCUUACAUCAACACAUGAUUUUUAGAAUAUGUACUUGGUAUUAAAAAGAAGAGGAAGAUUAGAAAUCAACAGGAUGGUGAAAGUACAUCAACAACAAUAGUAACAAACAGCAGUAGCUUCAAUACCUCAAUCCAGAAAAUCCCAGCAAUACAGAGAAAAAGAGAAGAAAAAUAUUUUGAAAAUCUCUCUUUGUUUCUCUUUCUAGCUUUGAACUCUCUUCAACUCUCAAAAAUUAAACUCUGCCCGUAUAUACUUUUGUACCAUAUAUCGACUGUAUACUUCUGAAAACUCCAAAGACUAAAUUCUGUCUGUGUAUACUGCUAUAUCCAUAGUGUAUAUCAAGUGUAUACUGCUCUCUUCUCUCCCUUAUUUUUUCUUCUCCUCCUCUUUUUUCCUCAGAUUUUCCCGUUUUUUCCUCUUAUCUCUCUCUCUUCCUUCUCUCAAACUCCUUUUUAUAAGUAAA